GUACGGAAGGCAGCAGUGGGGAAUAUUGCAUAAUGGGCGCAAGCCUGAUGCAGCAACGCCGCGUGUGCGAUGAAGGCCUUCGGGUUGUAAAGCACUUUUGAUCGGGACGAGGAAGGACGGUACCGGUCGAAUAAGCCUCGGCUAACUACGUGCCAGCAGCCGCGGUAAAACGUAGGAGGCGAGCGUUAUCCGGAUUUACUGGGUGUAAAGCGCGUGCAGGCGGUGGGCUAAGUUGGGUGUGAAAGCUCCUGGCUCAACUGGGAGAGGUCGCUCAAGACUGGCCGACUGGAGAGCAGUAAGGGAAGGUGGAAUUCCGGGUGUAGUGGUGAAAUGCGUAGAUAUCCGGAGGAACACCAGUGGCGAAGGCGGCCUUCUGGACUGCUUCUGACGCUCAGACGCGAAAGCUAGGGUAGCAAACGGGAUUAGAAACCCCAGUAGUCCU
rnacentral:rRNA from 1 species